rnacentral:rRNA from 1 species
GUAGGUGGCAAGCGUUGUCCGGAAUUAUUGGGCGUAAAGCGCGCGUAGGCGGUUCUUUAAGUCUGAUGUGAAAGCCCACGGCUCAACCGUGGAGGGUCAUUGGAAACUGGAGAACUUGAGUACAGAAGAGGAAAGCGGAAUUCCACGUGUAGCGGUGAAAUGCGUAGAGAUGUGGAGGAACACCAGUGGCGAAGGCGGCUUUCUGGUCUGUAACUGACGCUGAGGCGCGAAAGCGUGGGGAGCAAACAGGGAUUAGAUACCCCGGUAGUCCACGCCGUAAACGAUGAGUGCUAAGUGUUAGGGGGUUUCCCGCCCCCUUAGUGCUGCAGCUAACGCAUUAAGCACUCCGCCUGGGGAGUACGGCCGCAAGGCUG